CAGACGGGUGAGUAAUGUAUAGGAAUCUACCUAGUAGUACGGAAUAAUUGUUGGAAACGGCAACUAAUACCGUAUACGCCCUACGGGGGAAAAAUUUAUUGCUAUUAGAUGAGCCUAUAUUAGAUUAGUUAGUUGGUGAGGUAAAGGCUUACCAAGACAAUGAUCUAUAGCUGAUCUGAGAGGAUGAUCAGCCACACUGGAACUGAGAUACGGUCCAGACUCCUACGGGAGGCAGCANUGGGGAAUAUUGGACAAUGGGCGAAAGCCUGAUCCAGCCAUGCCGCAUGAGUGAAGAAGGCCUUCGGGUUGUAAAGCUCUUUUAGUGAGGAAGAUAAUGACGGUACUCACAGAAGAAGUCCUGGCUAACUCCGUGCCAGCAGCCGCGGUAAUACGGAGAGGGCUAGCGUUAUUCGGAAUCAUUGGGCGUAAAGGGCGCGUA
rnacentral:rRNA from 2 species